CAUGAGAAAGGACCCAACUUUGGCCUUCAAGUGAGUUGAUGGUGUUGAGGGAGUGAACCUGGGAUCCUGGGAUUCACUGCUGAACCCUCUGGAGGUGUCGUGGCCCUAUCAGUGAAACACGCAAGAAGGAGGGCACUCACUUGACAACCCAAAGGAUGCCAUCACUCACUUCACCAUCCCACAGAGUCUCAUCAGUGCCUCAAGUAUGUACCCAAUGAGAGAUAUCAACAUCAGUCAUACACAACAAAUUAGUUCAAUGUAGUUUAAGUAGAUAUUAGAGGAGUCUGAUUUGGUAAAACCAUUGUAUGUGUUUGUAAACUCCUGCAAAAGCCGGUGCUCUACAGGCCAGGCUACACUUACAUCAGUACUUUUUGAGGGAUCAGGGUUUGAAGCAGAGGAAGUUAAGGGUUAUGUGGCUUUCAGUCAGUCAUACAAAGUAAUUUAAGACAGAUUUAGGUGGGCUGUUUUCAAGGUCAUGGCAAAUGGAGGUGCUGGGAGAGGUAUGGGUCAGUGGUGUGGACCUGAGAAAGGAAGUCACUGUGAUAAAUCCACUACGGGUGCUGUGGCAGCUCUUGAAAUAUAACAGCCUUUUCCCAGCUCUGUUGUUUUCUUUUGCCAUUUCGAGCCACAUAAUGAAAUGUGCCCACAGCUUUGUCUAGCUGCUGAAGAUAUAGAGUAACCAUGAGGGACAGUGGUGAAGUGUUUGCUUUACCACUUUAAACAGCUAAAAUAAACACCAGCGUUCAUUAGCGCACAGCCAUUACUUCCAGCUAUGUCAUUCACAAGAUCCAGAGUCAAAUCUCUCAGGUUACUCUGCUACUGUCAAAUGUCAUGUUUUACAACUGCUGGCUUUUAUUGUAGGUCCUGUGGCUUCUAUACAACGGGCCUCACAGCGGUAUGCGCUUUAACACCCACCCUGCUUCGCUCACAUGCGGCCGCAGUGACUCGUUGUGUAAUGGAGACAGUUAUAUCAGGGCCGAUGCUCUCUGGCAGUGCGGACAUGCCGCUAUGAGUGCAUGUUGUUAUUGGAAAAAGCAGAGAGCUGAGCGAGGUCAGGGCUGCUGCGUAGCACCUCAUCAGUCAGCCCAACAGCCCAGAGGAGGGAUUGUUUAAAUUUGGCUCCGCUCCCUCGUCUUGAGUUACGUCCAGAUGGUCGAUGAGAAAGUUGAGAGACGGGGGUCUCGCUUGGUCGAGUGUUCAGAGAGUCACUUCUUCAAUUUAAAAACGGCCAAUCAUUUCAUAUGACGUCCAAAUGCUUCUUCUAUAGACAAAAAACACCCCUCCUGAUACUCAUAACUCACUGUUCCUUUAAAGUUCACUUCACAAGGUCACUAAACCGGGGUCUGGCUUCUCUCUGAGAAAUUGUAGUGUGUCCUAAGCCAGAUGGCCUCCUACACCACAUGAGAAGUGGUUUCACCUGCAAGGCAAUCAGACAUUUGGAGUGUAGGUACCUUUUCUCUGAAAACAAGCUGACAUGUGGCUGGUUCUGUGUUUUAUCGCUGAACAUCCAGUAAAUGUUUCCAUAUGCUCUUUGUUUACAGUCCCACUGGUUUUCCUUGCUGUGUUCUCCAGUGACAUGUUGAACCAAACCUGCUGUUCUCAAUCAGAGAUGUGGAGCUUUUUGACAUUCAUUAUGAUUUUAUGUCACGUCUUACAGUGUUUCAAGUUCAGAGGAAAAGUCAACUGUAUAAAGUCUACAUAGUUUAUUCAUACAUAUCAUUUCUCCCUCAGCUGGAACAGGAUCUCCUGCCUGUACCAGACAUAUCGCUUACAAAGUAAUCAGUAAUGUGAUGUCUUGUUUAUAAUCUUUUAACUUAAGUAUUAACAGAUAUAGUAAAGACUGUCUAACAAGUAUAAACCACAGCUAAUUUGAAGUAUUAAAACUCCAUUCUAUUUUGAUUAGUAAUGAGUGAAAGUGGCCUGAUUGAGAUUUGAAAGGGUCUUUAAUGAACUUUGAAGUCUCCCUCAACCUUCUUUUGAAACUUUUUUUAGACUUUGCUACGACUGACUUGUUGACAGGAACUUUACGAAGUGUACCAAACCUGACAGAGAACAGUCAUAGCUGUGUCCGGCUCUGUCGCAUACAUUCACAAGAAAAAACAAAGCACGACUGUUGCUGAGUAACACACCUCUGUCCAGUCUGCCAGAUUGCACCGAUAACGGAACAACCAAAUUGAACUAUGUGCAAGCAGAAAUUUGUGGAGUUGUGUAGAGCACAUCAGUUCUUAGUGUGAAACUGAACACUGAUACAAACAAAGAAACAAAGGCGAAGGACAGCGCUGUAUUCCAGUCCAGUUCACAAAGUUACAAUACCAUCUGUAUAGUUUAGAGGAGGCCUGCUGGUCUGACUACUUAAACAUGUGCCUGUUCAAUCCAAGUUACUAUCAGUUGUAGCACAAACAAAGCUGAAUGAGAAGUUUUUAAUCCUUGAGCAUUAAAAAAUAACCUCCAAAGUCUUUUGCUUGAAAUGAGGCCAAAAUAUAAAUCUCAACUCAUCACUGUGCUGAUCCAAGGAAACGUGAAUUAUACCGUCUUCUCUUUAUUUAUGAUUUGGCAAGGUUUUUAAAAUCAUUUUUGGCAAACUGCAGUGUUAUUUUUGGGUCUGUCAAACUUUAAAUAUUUCAAAUUACGAUAAAUCACAGACUUUCAAUCAUAAAUUUGGAAGAAAGCACUAUGAAUUGCAUGUUUCAAAUUUUUAGUGUUUUGCAUGCCGGAACAGCUUUCAAGUCUAAAUUAAUGAUAAAAAGCAAUCCUUGGUGUCUUUGAUGUGAAAAUCAAACGAAUACAAAGAAACAUACUCUAUGAUCUUGACUUUAACUUUAUUUUUCAUUUUAAUGCUGUGAUGAAAAUGAAAUUAAACUAUGAUACAAAGGUAGGAAACGGCUUAAAAGUGCCUUUUCUUUCCUAAAACAUUUAUUUUUUUAAAUAAAAACACUGCUAACAUAAACAAGUAUUAACAUGUGGGGUGUUUAUGGCCUAGUGGUCCAAGCGCCCCACAUAUGAAGGUUAUAGUCCUCAUCACUCUUUGGCUAUCCAGUCUAAUAAAGGUAAAAACAUUUAAAAGUAUGAAUUAAAAAAACAAAAUAUGAAUAUGCAUGUAAAAAAAUGUCACUCUAGAUGAGUGUCAAUAUGGUGUGUUCAUAUGCUGAGAUAAUUUUAAUAACUCUCUUACAUCCUGUAAACCCUGUUUAAUGCAACAACAUUAGCAUUUUUCAGGAUUUCUAGUUUGAGUUUUUGUUUCUGUUCUUCCUUUUUCUUCUUUUCAGUGAGAGGGCAGAUAACCAGCAGCCGUGCCUCAUUAAAAGGCUCCUCUCCUCUCUGGUUGUACCUGAUUUAACUGCAGAGGAAAGCGGACAAACAGCCACACAGAGACGCAGACCGAGCUGCUGUUUUGUGAGACACAGUGGGGAGCCGUACACUGUGAUAGGAGGUCACAAGGAGCCUACAGGAUGCAGCAGGUGGGGAGCGAAGUCCGGUGAACCAGAUGAUGUUGAUGUUGGUGAUGAUAAUGAGGCAUUGCAGUGUGACCUGGAAGUCUUACUCAAAAAUAGAGAGGGGAAAAUAAGACACAGUGCAGAAGAAAGACUAAAAAACACUCAGAGAGAAGAAAACCACAUUGGAUCAGCCAGUUUGAGACAGGAGAAAAACAGAUGACAAAGAAAAGUUAAUACAGGGUCAGUCGAGAGAGAGAGGAGACAGAUUUUGACUCAGAGAAAAAGAAACAGACAAAGAUGAGUAUCAGCAGAUGAACAGUUAUGAAAAUUCAGCGUAGAGGUGCAUUAAACUGCAGUUCCUCUGGCGGCCACUUGAGGCUGACUCGAAAGGCUGCUUAGAAAGUUUUUUAUGCAAAUGCAUAAAACACACAAUAUGCAUGUUAAAAAGUCAUGUUUUUCACUGAGAGAGGUUUAUCUCAGGUCUAAGUAGCUGUGUGCUUCAUCCCUGUUAGCAGUUCUUUGUCAUGCAUUAAUUAAUUUUCAUUUUCAUUAUUAACAGUCCUUGCAAGGAAGUUAUCGUUUUUGUUGUUUUGCUGCAGAGAACACGGUUGGUAUUAGGCCUGGAGGUGAACAGCUACUUGAAUUAUGAUCUGAACAAAACAGAAAAAUCAAAGACAGCUCUGACUUUUUAGUUGUUAUAGAGCUUUUACCUGAAUUGGAGCACCCCUGAGCAUGCAGUAGUGUCUGUUUUGCCGUGACAUCUUCAUCUAGUCACUUAGCUGUCAGACUUAGCAUACCCACUGGCCUAACAUCAGGACCACCGCUGAUAAACUUCAAAACUCUGGAUGACGUCACCAGAGCUACAUCCAUUUAUUACACAGUCUAUAGUACUGUCCUCUUCAGCCUUGCAUCUUGUGCCAUCGUGGCUUUACUUUUGCUUUCAACUGUUUUUGUUUGUCUCCAGGAUUUUCUUGCUUUUACACUUAUGGACUUUGUCACAAAUGUCAGCCUAAUGCCUUUCUUUAUUGUUUGGUCUGCUUUUUUGAUCGAAUCACUAUUUUAAAAAGAGAUAAAGUGUGAUAUUCACUGGCCUGCUCUGACAAAGACAGGAUAAGUCCUCAGACUGAGAUGUAAUUCUUAAAUUCAUUAUCAUUCAUAAACCCCGGCCUGUAAUCAUUAACUCAUCUGCAGACUGCUAUCAUAUGAAAAUGGCACCCUGGCUGCACACCCUCCAUUCACACAAUGACAAGAUAUUUAACUGGUUUCACAGAGGCCCAUUCAUCAUGGUGAGUGGAGAGGAGCACAUUUCCUUUCCCACUUCUGUCUGUAAGAUGAACAGCUCCGCUGGCUCAGCUCCGGCUCGCUCUCAUUUUAUCUCGUCUGAACUCCCAGCUCCUCUCUGCUGUGUGACGACAGCCGCUGAUGGCUCUACAACUUCAAGCUGUUGGGGUUUUAGCUUGAAGUGCAUGUAUUGUUGCAGUGGGAUUAAUUCUGAUGGCCAGUGUGGAUGUUCAUGCAUAGAUUAGAGAAGCAUUGUCACAUUUCUAUUUUUAUAAGUAACCCCUUUAAUCCACCAAAGUGAAAACAAUUCUUUGAAACAAGUGAGUUUAGAUCACGUCUGCACAGAUUUCAUGCAUGUAAAUCCAGCACACAAACAUCCAUGCAUCUUUUUUUUAACCCUGAAGCAUCUGAAAAGCUUUUGUGGAGCUUUAUGUGUAAAACAGCGAUAAACACAGGAAGUGCAGAUAAAUCAAAUGUUGUCUUGUUUGCUUGAAAACUGCCUAUUAUGAUGACUCAAUCACAACAACAGUCUUCAAGGUUGGACUGAAUCUUCUGUGAAAAGAAAAUCAAUACAAAUAGUGUGUGUGCUUUGUAAUAAUCAUACAAUAGAGUUUUAAUAGAAAACAUGAACAUGCCUUCGUAGACAAGUAGACAAAGUCGAUAAACUUAAGUAUCGGUACAUCCUUCACAGGAGUAUUGUUUUUGAGGGGAAGUGUAUUACUUUUAUCCCACAACAGCUGAAAGAUGAAUAAAGCACUUUUAACUCCACUAUAUUUAUCAGUGACUGUUUCUGUGACUCACUACUUUUAACUUCGCAGAUAAAUUUCUUUCCUUCUGUCUUAUAAAUACUUGGGUGUAAUGAUUGAUGAUUUGUUGUGCUGAAAAGAUCACUCUGACUUUCUCUGUAAAAAGAUAAAACUGAUCAUUUAUUUCCACUGACAGAGAUCUUUUGUUGCAAGAGGACAAUUUUUUUUUUUGGUUUUUUUUUCUUACUUCUGUAAUUUUGAGAGACCCACAGCACUGUGAUACCACACGUCUGUCCAAACUGCUCCAUCAGAUCCGACCUAUAAGCUGUUAGCCACUUCAGAGACUCUACAAACAUGCUAAAGCUGGGUAAAAACAUUGUUGCUAACCUUCACCGUGCUCUAAAUAUAAACUGUGACCGUCAAAUCUGAGAUACAGAGUCCCUGAAGCACUCGUUUAUACACCAGUUCAUUGUUAAGUUAAAUAUGGAGCUGAAUCCCAGAGUAAAAAUACGUAGAAAGCCUCUGAAUGUGCUGUCUGCUGUCUAAACUGUUUAUGUUUCUUGUCCUGCAAGUUUUAAAUGGAGCAGCAGGGAUUCAAGUCAAAUUUCAGACUAACAUAAAAUCUAAUCUAAUCUAUUUUAAUCUAAUCUAAUCUAAUCUCAUCUAUUUUUAACUUUUCUGAAACCCAUUUUAUUGCACAUGUUGUAUAAACACUUGUGUUGUCACCAUGUACCAACAUACGGCUUCUAUAUUUCCCCCAUCUCAGUUUACGUCUUUCAAUUAUAUCGUUGCCAUGACUACAUUUGUUACACAUUGUUAUCCUUCUUCAUUCAGCUUGCUUCCUGAUUUGUUCUCGUUUUGCUCCAUGUGACAAUGGACAGAAAGCAUUCGAGAGACUUCAUGAAUUUCUAGUUUUGACAGUCAGGAACUCUGAUUGUUGGUGAAAAGAGUCUUCGUGUGCAGUGAACAUUGUUUACCACCAUAGGGACCAAAACGGUUGGGCUGGUCAUCAUUCGUCCUUAGGUAUGGAGUCUCUGUUGUUUUAAAAUGUUUUUGGGGAAAAAAUCAGUGAGAAUACUUGGAUAUGUUUAAAAGGCAAGGACUGAAGUGAUAAUUGAUCAGGAGUGUCCUUGCUCUGACUACAGUAAUGAAGUUUUGUACUUUUUACACCCGCUGAUGUCUCACUUUAUUCUCUUCAACAUGUCAUGCAACAGAAGAGAAGAGUGCCCAGCCUGCACAAAUUUACAAGAAGCUAGAAACAAAACCGAUUAAAGCAACAGCAUGUGAAGAAGAAGGAAGACCAAUUAAUGCUAGAUAUGUCAAACAAUAACAAAAUAUUAUUAAAAUGUGGCGCCUCAGCCGUUGGCACUUCAUCAGCACUUCUCGUGCAAUGACUUUUACUCUUCUAGAUCAAUCAUCACGAGUCAUUGAAUGCUGCUAAAGGCAUUUAACACAAACAGAGGAAGCUAAAACACUUUGUGUGCAAACAGUCAAAUGUUAUCAUAAAUGAAAGACACAUUUGGACUUUGUUUUUACAAUUUCAAUAUAUGCUGACUCACUGUAUUUCUCUGAACAAAGAAAACAAAGACUUUCAACUUUCUAGAUUUAUUUCUCUCCCCUUCUAUUUUAUUUUAAAUGACUCAUAAGUUUCUCUUAAGUAUCAUCCAAAUAAAGCAUUUUCUCUCGUUAUUUGAACAGCUCUAAAUCAAGAAAGUAAUAUAAUUGUAUGUCACUGAAAUGGAUGACUGUGCCAACAAAGCCAUCAAAUCCAGAGGUGAUGUGUCAACAGGGGGCACCAUACCACUAUCAUGCAGUGGAUUUUUAACAGACCCUCUUGAAUUAGCAUGUGGCUGCAUGACUGAGUGUGAGCCCCUCCUAAAUAAACCAAUUUUCAGUCAUGUUUAAUAGAAUGAUUGAGGUUGACAGAGGUGACAGAUUUGGGAUCAUUAUGGCUCCGACUCGUGACUGAUGACUGCUGAGAUGUCAGAAGAGGCCGAUACUUAAUGUGACUUCAUUUUGCUCCCAGCUUGACCUUUACAACUUCCUCUCAAUACUCAUAAUGAUUCAUGGUCCUGAAGCAUGCUGAUGAGAGCUGAGCCCUGAGUGAUGCUGGAGUGAUUGAUGAAUGAGAACCACAGCAGGAUGCUUGUCUGUGUCAUGUCAUAUUUUGAGCCUGCAAAGGACUUGAUGGUGCAGCGUUUUAGACUGAAGAGCACUUUAAUUGUUUGAAGUGAACUCUGGAAGCUGAAACAUGCUGCAACAGAAAAUCUCAAAUGUGCAAGGGGAAAACCUCUCUGCAGAAUGUUAAAUUAAUGAUUGGCUACGAGUCAAUAAAAGGAAAAAUGCAAUUUGGAGAUAUUUGAUAUCUAGCUGCCUCAACUGAACUACUCCAGGCCUGUAGAUGGCGCUAUAGGAGGUGUAUUUACCUUACAGCAUUUUUGUUUGUUUUUGCGUGAAAAAGAGAUAAGUGUUUUCUUUCCCACUGAAUUAAUUCUAUUGAUGUUUGACAAAAAUUGUGUGUGCCACCAAACAUCUUUUUAACAACCCAUCUACUCUCUUCCAGCAGCUGCUCAGCGAGACCAUCCAGACCUCAGGCCAGUCUAUGGACUACAGUGGGGUGACGCAGCAUAAGGAAGAACAUCUAUGAUCAUUACUUUAUCAUUUCCCUGAAGUAAUAAUCACCAUAUUAAUCAUUUUGCAACGCAGACGCGGUAGUUCUUCUACCUUAGUGUCUCGGUCUGAUUGCAUUUCCAUGAAGUAAUGAUCAUAAAUGUUCUUCCUUGAGCUGCAUCACCCCGCAGUAGUGCGUAACGGAUUAGCCUGAGGUCUCGAACAAACAAGCGACUGCUGGCAGAGAGUAGGUGAGUUGUGUUUAGUCUCUUUGCUAAAGAAAUUAGGCAAAGCUAAAAAGAUGUUUGGUGGCUAGUGCUAUGCCUGGGAUGUGUACAGUUGAUGAAGUUAGAUGCUGUUCUGAGCAUUAUUUGUGGCUAUAGAGUGGUGUUUUGGUCGAGGUUUGUUUAUGGCUCUUCAGACUGCUGUGGUCGGCAACAUUCAUCUCUCGAGGGGGUGUCUAACUCGGUGUUAUGGUGUGUUUGACCCUAAAUUGAUUUUACACCAGAAUAUCCCUUUAAUGUACAAAAGCUGCAUGUCUGAUUUGUUUUACUGGUUUCUUUGUUUAAAUGUGUGAGUGUGUGUGGUGUGUGAUUGUUUUGUACACAGUAAUGUCCUGUAUAAGGACAAAAACACAUCUUUGCUUCUUCUGGGCGCCCCCUCUCCUCUCCUUUCCUCACCCUCCCUUCCUCCCCCUCCUCGACUCCCUCCCUCUCCCACCUGGCAUAGCUGUCAGCAGUAUGGCUCUGUGCCUUGGCAUCGAACACACCAUCUCUCUGGCACGUCAUCUGGUAGCAAGAAUGAGGUGUGGGACGAAGCCAACUGGGGCUACUCUGAUCAUUGUGGUCGUCCACUCUACGGAAACCCGGAGGGGGGAUUUUCCACCUGUUCAAUGGGAACCUGAAGUGCACCUCCAGGGGCCACCAUAUGCCAUCCAGAUUCAAGCGCUCCACCCAAAGGUCUGUUAAAGGUGAGUCUUUAUUAGUAGCAUAAAUGAAGUUAUAAUAAAACAUCACAAGAACAGCUAAAUAAUCGUGGUAUACCUACAGAUAAACCAACUUAUUCACCAAACGUGUGAUUGAUAGUCAUUUUUCAUACAGACUCACUAUGCUGGAUUCCCUCCCAUCUGACAGCGUCAAUGUCAAAGCAAGAAAAUAUUAAUACCAGUAUUAUUAACAGUGGUUCUGUUGAGUUCAAGAGUCCCAGGAAGCUUUGACAGAGUGACAGCGUGCUACGAUGCACAAAAGAAGGAGCCUGAAAUUGAAGGCACUGCUUCCUACUGUGACAUGUCAAAAUGUCUUCUGUGAAGAAAUCUCAAGGUGUAAAUAUGCUUCAUAAAGCUGCAGGCAAAAACUUUCCUUACUUUCAAACUGCAGCGAAGGUUCAGAGCCACACAAUUUCAUAUAGUGAGAUCUGUCUGAAUGUGUGAUGUUAGUGCUACCAGAUUUAUGGAAGACAAGCCUCAAUCAUCUCCUAUUUAAGAAUAAAUGAGGCCAGACUCGGUAGAGACUGAUAGAGCUAGUAACGUGUAUUGGAGCCAAGACAUAGGCAGAUUGAUAUGGUGCUAGACUCCCUAAAGUGCACAUUUUAUUUAACAGCAAAGAUCUCUCAGGUACCGUCCAAAGCAUGAUAGGUUCUGGUGCCAGCUUGAAAAAUGUUCGUGUUUUGUUCUUUCUCUCUCAGAGAGCCAGGAAUUUACAUCACAUUCCCUCUCUAUAGCAUAAAAUAAAUGUUUUUCAAGCUCCUUUAUAAUAGAAAUGUCAUCUAACAGAAGAAGGUGAAUUUAAUUGACCAGUAUUUUAGUUUCCAAGCUUGACCCAUGUUUCAUUAUGUUACAGUGAAGGAGGCCAGCACCAUGGUUUUACUGCAGCCGGUCAGAAGGGGGAGCUCUAAAAGGUUGGCUUUACCUUUGGGAAGCUGCCAUGAUGUCCAUCACUCAUCAAGUCUAAGGUAUGUUAUGAUCUGUCUUCUGCUUACCUGGAAAGAGCACUUACUUUUAGUGCAGUUUGACAGCGAUGGUAUUAGUGACUGGACAGUAUCAAUGUCGCUUAUCCCAUCAACACCGACUGUCACCAGAUUCUACAGCAAAAAUGAUAAAUCAUAUUUGAUGUGACCACACCUGUAGACAGAAACUUGAUAUCAUUCAAAGAAAUCAAACUUUUUUUUGACACAAUUUGAAGAAAGACAAAGAGCAGAUUUGCUUUUUCAAUAUAAAAUCCCUUACACAAUUUUUAUUCAGGGCAUUUUACUGUAAGAAAUAACUUGAACAUUUGUCAAAUUUAUCAUGAUAUAACAUACAGAAAACCAAGUUUUUUGCUGGAUCCGUGUGAAAUAGCACAUCUACUACCUGUUUGUCAAUCAGUGUUGUGUCUAUGGGCUCUAGUUUAGCUCAGCAGGGGUCCUAUAAACAGAGGCAACACUCUUUGGCUCAUCCAUCUCUCUUACAUGUUAAACUCUUAAGUCUAACUGAAAUCGCACUAAAUCAGGCUCCUCAUAAUCAGACUAACAUACCUAGAUAACUCUGGUUGGCGUUUCUCUUCCAUGCAUACAGAUAAAUCAGACUGAAACUGGUCUAAGCAUUCUGCACACGCUCCAGUGGUUUCACGCCAGGCUUUGAGCUGGAAGUUGAACAGCAUGGAUGCAUUACUUGGAAGCUGAGCAAAGAAAAAAACCUUGACAGAUGAAGAAAAAAAACACAAAAAUUUGUUAUCAGGAUGGAUUCUCCAAGCUGGCAUGAUGUGGUUUAUGGCAACCCCUCUCCUUUCUCCCCACAUUUCUUGUCUCCCUCAAGCUAUUCCAUAAGAAAGGCAAAAAUGCCCCAAAAUAGUGAUAAAAAAUAUACAGUUUUAUACUUGAAUAAAUCCAGGCAGUUACUGGUUCAUUCAUUAGUUGUGGACCACUAUUCUGAAGUCGUGAGUAAGACCUCUCAGCUGCAGCUGUCUGGUUUUCUGGGGGGUCAUAAGUGACCAUAUUUAGAUGAGAGGGGUUGGACACCAAGGUCAACUGAAGCACUUUAAAUUAAUGGAGGUGACUCCUGGCAGAAGACUAGCGUCACCCACCUGUCUCUGAAAGCAGCCAUGUGUUUAUUAUGCAUCCCUUUGAACCACGGUAUAAUUCCAAUGAGUGAGUUAAAUUAACAACCAGUCAUUUGGUAUGAGCGGGUAACUGAGCUACUGAGACAAACACAUUCUGGUACAAGGCUGUAAAAAUGUUUCACUGUGCUCUGUGUUGGACUUUUAAAAACAGAUCUGUGGGGAUUGACUGCUCUCUGAGCCAGCUUCAUUUGGCAGCACCAGGAUCUGCAGUUUUCACCACUUCUGUGUUGGCUUUAUUUUUCAGCCCUGGAGGCUGCUGCUUGGAUACACAUGGUUAUGGUUUUUACUGUUUCCUCUGGCACGUUAAGUAUUGUCUAGUUUUGUAACCUGUGCAGCGGCAGUUUUGGCACAGAUUUUUCUGGGUCUUUGUUAGUUAAACUUUGUUGCUGUAAAAGCUCAUAUUUCCAAAUCUCAAAUGACUGACCUCAUUCAGAAAAGUUACACAGUAUCAGGAGAAGAAUGAGGUGAAGUAUUAUGUUUAUAAGGGAGCCUCCCUGCAGGGAAUUCAGACCCCAUAAUUCUUCCCUGGAAACUGCGAGUACAAUCUUAUUUUUGGAUCUGCAAAUCUUUUUUUCCAUUUAACCCUCAACCUUGAAACAUUCAUCUGUCAUUAAAUUUUACACUCUGUUGUGUAACUCAGGCAACAAUUUCCUCUAUUGUUAUACCGUUCUAUCUUAUCUAAUCUCACCUCAUCUUACCUUAUCUUAUCUUAUCUUUAAAACAAUGUAAGGAGUUUUGAGAUCAUCUCAAACUGAUCCUACCCUUUUGCUGGACAGUUUUGUCAUGCUAGUGUAUAUCUCGACCAAAAGCCAUUUUCUGGACUUGUCGGGUGACUGUGGCUUAAAUUAAGCUUAAUAAAGUGUUUUCUGUUAGAAAUAAGACAAAACACUUGCAAGGAUUUGAGUUUUUGUUUUGUUGUUGUUGUUGUUGUUUUGAAUAAAGAAACUACAAUCAGUCUUUUCUCAGUAGAAGAGCCAAAAAGAUCAAAAGGAUCUAAUAAUUAUGCUUAUGAAUGCAUCACUUGGUUUUGUGUUUGUUUGAGUUGUUGAGACAUUUUAUUGAGAAACCGGAGUACACACGGUGACAGGUGACAUCAAAUUAGUAUAUCAAGUCAUUAUUUCAGGUUGUUAGAAUGACAAAAAUCUGUCAAAAAUGCAAAAUCAAGUUCUCACUUUUCCUCACGUUGAUCCAGUCUAAAUUUCAACCAUAUGGUGAGGGUUAUCAGAUUCAACACUAACAUACAUUUUGAGCAGAGUUUUAGAAAAAAAAGAUAUCACUCCAGGAUUAUGUAUAAUCUGUUUUGUCUUGGAGCAUUUCCCCUCCAUCUAGUGUUUAUGUCUAUAACCAAAAGUCCCUGCAAUAAUGAAGAAUUUCGACUCCCUAAAUCUGCAAAACUGCUCCUCUGCUCUUCAUAAGAGCCGCCUCAAGCUGGGGGAGUGAGUUUUUUAGUCAAAGGAGGGAUCUUUGUUCUGUGCACAGAAGGAAUAGUAAUGUUCCUAAAAGACUUCAAUACAUCAGAGAAAAUGCGUUUUCCAUCAAGUGACUCUGGCAUCCAGCUUAAAAAGCCAAAUACUCUAUCUUGGGGUUAUGAACAGCUUAAUUGGCAGCAUCACUGCAAGUGUCUCACAAGAUGUCAGCAGUGAAAGAGAGGCUACCGGAGCAAACUCCAGGCAUGGUGACAGUGCAGGGAGAAAGUUUCCAUGAGGCACUCUGGGAGCUCAGAGAGCAGUUGGCUUGAUUUCCUGUCAUCACAGGCACAUAAUUACCUCCGACUCGUGUCAAGUGGCAAAAGAACAAAGAGGAGCUCAGCAGUGAAGGAAAAAUUUAGAUCUGUUUCUGAAGUGAAAACUGAAGAACCACAUUAAAAUCGUUUCCAGUGGAAAGAUUAAGCUUUUACAGGGAGCAAUUAAACGAGAUGUUGUUGAAAAAUAAUCCCACCAUCACCAAACCUAUUUAGUGGGUGAUCAUUUUCUUUGAUCUGUGUUCAGACUAAAACUAAUCAUUUCAAAUGUAAUGACAACUUUGAAAGAAAAAGUGAUUCAGGCUCAGACUAACUACAAACUGUGCCUUUGUGCUGCUGCUCAAAACUUCCCCAGUGUACUCUGAAUUCAGUGCUAGAUUAUAACUGGCUCAUCCAUUCAUCGUUCCCUUCAUCCAUCCAUCCCAUCAGGCAUCUGUCUAUCCGUUUAACAUCCAUUCAUUCAUAAAGUAUGCAUCUGUCCAUGGAUCCAUCUGAUAUUGAUGCAUCCACCUUUCUAUCAGCAUGCAUCCAACCAUUCAUGUAUCCAUCCAUUGCUGAGUUUAUCCAUCAAUCCAUGAAUUUCAUCUAUGCAUCCAUCCAUGCAUUCAUUCAUGCAUCCAUCCAUCCAUGGGUUUAUCUCAACAACCAACCAAACCUUGCUUACCUUCAUCCAUGCAUCCAUCAGUCUGUGUAUUUAUCCAAGCAUCUAUCCAUCCAUCCAUCCACCCAUCUAACCAGUCAUAUAGUAUAGAAAUGCAUUCAUCUGCACAUCUCUUUAUCUGUGUAUCCAUUCAUGCAUUCAUCCAUUCAUCCAACCCUCCAUCCAUUUUAGGAUGAAGGUUAGGCUUGAAGCAAUAGCCAAAUAUUGUCCCUCACUUUGCAGCUGCUUGUAUGAGAUAGCUUAUGCUAACCAGGGGUUAUAGGCCCAGUGCAGCAGUUGCUUACUUUUGGAUUAAACAUAAUCUUUUCCAGACAGCUUUCCUUUUAAUCACCUUACUUAUCUUUGUGUCCCCUUAUUUCUAGCUUCUCUUUGUCUGGCACCAGAUCAGCUUGGCGUAAGCUUUAAAUCAUCAAUAUCAACUCCCCAAAAGUGAGUUUCAGAGUGAGCUUCAACGUUUACAAUACAUCACUGAGUCAUACAUCAUAGACCUGAUUAGAUUUUGCUGCAUGCUGAAGAGCACAUCUGUGUUACAUGUGCGCAUAGUGCAAAAACAAAUGGACUUGCUAAUGGUAGAAUUAAGCGCUGAAAAACAGUCUCAGUGGAAUGUGCAUCCUAAGUGAGAUGAGUGCUUGGGUCAGAGUCCUUUUUAAAAUGAACUACAUCAGGUGCUGGACCCUGCUUUGUCUGCAGGAAACUGUAGCCUAGCUUGUGUUCCAGUUCUGUAUUUAUGCAAAUAUUACACUUUAAAGUCUGUGAUAUUUCCAUUUAGUUUGCCCAGUAUUCUCAUUGCUUAUGGAUCUGAGCCUAAUGCACCUCAUUUGGUGAACAGUAUUAUGCUGUCCGCCCUGAGCAGGUUAACAGUCCAUCACAUGGGUUUACUGAUAUCAACAGACAACUGGCAAAGCUGUGAGUCCAGUACAGCUCCACUACAAACCUUUAUUUCUUGCUCAGUCCUCGUUGCUUACUCAGGAGUUGCUGUGUGUGUAGUUUCAUCUUAACUGAGUGGGGCUACGUUAUGUUUAAUAAUUGAAUUUGAGUGUAAACAGAGUACAUUCACAGGUCUUUAAACGCACUGUGGUCCAGGGAUUCAUUCAUCCUGAAUUAACUAGACUGAUAUGAUCUCAUUUAACAUUCCUGUAUCGUCCAAUCGUAUCAGUGACUUAAUAUUCUCUUAACACAACUUCAAGUGUGAAUAUAUUUCUGCUAUAUUUCACCUUCAAAGCCAGCAACCACUCAUCUCCUGGGAGCGUUUGUCACACCACGCUGCACACACGCCUCGAUUUAUACAGCAGCUGGUGCAGUAAAUGUGCUGUAAUUGCACAGUCACACAUGGAUUCGGGUGUGUUCAUACUAUCACACCAAAUCUAUUCAUCUGCGGUCCAUGUGAUAAUGAUGCCUGCCUGAGCGCCAAGCCAGCCCCUCCUAAUUCCCUCUCAGCCCGUCUGCAUGUUAUUUAAGGGUAUUGUUAUCAUGCCCGCUCACUGACUGCAUAUAAGUAUUUGUCCCAUUGUGCUUUGCCUGAUGACUGGCGGAAAUUCUUUGUGUUACAAUCUGAUUGGGCAUCAGGAGUGAUCUCUGCUGUAAUGACCCGUGCUGGGAGGUGUUACAGGAGCAGAUUUGGAGGCGCUAUCCUGUUAACAAGGAGCCUGCUGAGACAAGCUGCGAGCAACACUGCUCCAAGAUGUGUGAUUUCAUGCAAGGCCUCCCAGCGCUAGACAGUUGGUGAUCUGUAUAUCACUUCCUUUUUUUAUUAUUGUUAUUGAAUCAGACACUGAAGAAAAACUGGAGAGCUAGAACCGAGAAACACACCAAAAAUAACCCUUUUUUUAGUUUCUUUCUCUGUGGCUUGAUACCUUUAAAUGAACUGGCCUACUUUUUAUUUUUUUACACCUCUGAAUGCCUCGCGUUUGUUGAAAAAAAAAGUCUGAAAGUGAGGAUGGCUGUUUGGUUUCAGUUAUUCAUGCUGUAUUGACAGACUUUAACACACUGACCCGUGCAUUAGCCUCAUUGAUUUCUCUGACCCCUCUCCCUCAUAUCCAUUUAAUAUGAGCUACAAUACAGUAGGAUUAACCGUUCUGUUAUUUAGCCUUAUGAACCCCGCAUUCAAGCACCCUAAUUUGCUCACAGGCUCAUGGCUUUGGAAAAUGAUUGUGUUUUGUGUGUGAAUGAAUUCUAACAAAUCCUUGUUAAUCAUUGAUAAUUACUGACUGAAAACAAGUGUAUCUCUCACCAGAUAGGUUCAAAUUGUCCUGUAGCUCAUGGAUUUAACUGUUAAAUCAUUAAAGCAACCAUGUCAGAGUUCAGAUGGGCAUAAUUGAUGAUUGUACUGUCUGUCCCUGCUUUUUACAUUCAGAAAAAGACAGACUAACACCAGAUAAUUUGUAACCCAAACCAGAGAGUCAUGGUCCCCAAGUGAGGGAUCCCAAUUUAUGACCGUAAACUCCAGAAUAUCAAUCUAGCUUGAGUCAAAGCGAUGGGAUUAAGCUUGCAAGCAGCCACAGUGUGCCCCCCACUCCCCACUCUAGCAAGGUUUGUUUCUUAUACAGUAGAGAUGUUUUACAGAAUGGGUGUGUAUGUGGCUUCUGGUACUUUUGCAGCCAGCCUCAAGUGGUCACGUGAGGAACUGCAGUUUUUAGCACUUAGAAAAAAGUCACCACCAAGGUCUCAAGUGUGAAACUUGUGUCUUAUAAACCAGAUUUAAUGGGAAGUGAUUUCUCCCCUUUUCCUCUUGUGGCUGAGGUUGUUUAGUGAAACAUCUCUACAACUAUUGAAUAAAUUUAAGAAAAUCAGAUUAUCAUUUAGGUAUCCAUAUUUCAUUCAGCAAAAUGACUCUGGUUAGUUUUUCAUUGCUGCACCAUGAUCAGUUGAUCAAUGUUAGUUUAGCAUAAUUGUCCUACUGAGAAAUGUAGCUCAGAGCAGUGCUGUGGUUAAAUACAGCUUUAUAAAUCUGCUACCAUGGAAGUGGAUUCUUAAUCAUGUUGAAAGAUGACCAAACUGAACAUUAAUACAACUGUUCUACUUAUACUUAACUGUACCCUUUGAAACAACACUACAUGAUUCAUUUUUAACUGAAGCAAAGACCGAUGUCCGUUUUUCCAAAUGCUCAGCUGCAGAUUUUUUCAUUUCUGAUUUGACUGACGUUAUGAGUUAAUGGAAAUGAAGUUCCCAGUGUAGCAAUGUUUGAAAAUUUGAAUGCAAUUUGCAAAUUCAAAAUGUGAAUUACACCCAUCAUGUACACCUGGAUACUGUUCACAGUUCAGACACAGGUAAUAAAUUUACAGUCCAUGCAAAUGACUGUGCUCUUGCUCCAUGACUGAUACCCAUACAGGAAAAAAAAGUGAGCGUUAUUUCCUCUGAAGAACAAAGCAAGAACUAUCCAUCACUGCAGAAAACAACCCGGUUACCUCUCUGCUCCGUAGGCUGCAUGCAGAGUAAUUCUCACGGGGAUGUAUUCCAGACAUAAUGAGAAAGAAACAUCGGGGUAAACAAAUCGACUUUUUUUUUAGCAGGCGAGCCUAAUUACAGGGCAGGAAUAAAUAACUAUUGGAGAGGAGACAGGCUCACUAGUGUAAUGCAUCGUAAUGGACCAUGGGAAGUUAAUGCGUCAUUUUUCUCCCGAGCCUGACGUGUUGUUGUGGUGUACUCGGUUCAGUCUGAAUUCUCUGAUCCUACAGAUGUUUAGCUGCCAUGCCAAACUGCUCUGACUGGGGUUUAUUGUUUUGCAGCCACUUCUGCAAUAAAUCCGUUUUUAACAUCUUUAGAGAAGCAUCUGUUUACCCCUUGUGUGCCAGAGGUGUAACACGACAGCCAUUUCAGCAACAUGUUCCAUCACAGUGAACUGAAAUAUGCAUGUUAACCCACUGUGAGGGGGGAUUUUAACUGGCUAUGCAACAGCCCCAAUUCAAUAUUGAUGUCUCUAUAUGACCUAAAAAGAGUAAACCAGACCAUCAGUUAAAAUAUUGACAAUUUCUAUAUAGUUAUGAAUUCUUGUCACAGUUGAAACUGGGUCAGACGCCAUAAAGUGAUUUACAGCUGGCAGACUAAAAGAGCCGUUGUUUGCAUUUUCAUGGCAAAGUCACACUGUCGUAUUUUAGCCUCUUUAAUGGAGGAAAAUGAUCAUUUCAAGGCACAAAAAGAUGGGAAAUAACAUUAUACUGUAUAUGUCUGCAGGUGCUGCCAAAAUUAUAAUGUAAAAGAUACUUCCAGCUGCUUUUACAUCCCUGUGAAAGAGAGGAGAAACUGAAGGUAGAUGAGCUUGAGAUCUUUUUUGUGUUUUUAAAGCUCCUUGGAGAUGUCUGUAGUUGAGCACUGAUGCUUUUUCAAGGCCUUCUACAGCAAACAAGACCAUCAUAAAGAAAACUGACCAUUUCUCUGCUGCAGUCUUUAAUGCAUAAAUCUGCUGCUGCUGCUGCAGGGUAGGAAGUAUAGAUUUCUACUAUGCUCCAGAAACAGACUACAGUAUUUCAUAGAACAGUCUAACAUGAUACAUUUACAGUUAAAAGAAAGGAGGGUGAGAUUUUUUGUCAGAGACUCUGCAUACAAAUGAACAAGACAGAAUCAGGAAAGAGAUCAGGUAGUGUCUUUUUCCACAGGGGGCGCCAAAAUCAACCCAACCCAAAAGUUUCUUACAGGAGCUUUAAACAGACAAAAUCUCAAACAUGUCUGACUGAAGUGAAGGACCAUCUCAGAUUAAACAGACAUUUCCUCUUCAAAUAGAAAUCAUAUCAAAGUAUCUGACUAUAUUCCCUCCAAUCUAACCUUGGCUGAGCAAAACCUCUGGAUAAGCCACCUGGCCUCUGGUGUUAUAUUUAUAAGAACCAGACCUGCUGAAAAUGUUUCACGACUUUUUUUGAGCACUGAUGAAAAGCCAGCAGAGCGUGUCAUAAAAAGAUGGGUGCAGAGUAUAUCUUAGGGGCAUCGUACAUCUUAAUCAGCUUUCAGAUCCAGUGAGGACUCUUUAUAAAGUUUUCUCACCAAACUUCAAACCACCUCUUCAACCUGUGUCUUCACUAUGAUUCCCAGAAUGCAUUUCUGUAUUGCACACACAGGAUAGAGGAAUGCAACAGUGCUUGAUACCUCACUUAGGUGUGUCAAAUGCGCAUUACAUUUAGAUAUUUUUGAACUCUGUGUGACUGUUGAUUAAGGUUGGACAUUCUCAGGUUUUUUCUGUGUUAACACGGAUUUAAAGUUAUGUUUUUGGUCUUUUACUGUAUUUAUUUAGAGAGGACAGAGCAUGACAUUGGGAGUGACAUGGGACAAAAGGGUCCUGAGCUGCUUUCUUCAGGCAAAACCUCUACACAAGCAGCACCCUCUGUUUUAACUAACGUGAAAUAAAAACAGAACAAAACAAUGAAAGAGAUCUUCUCUUUUCAUAUAUUCCCUAUUCUCAAUAAGAUAUUCCUGUUCAUACUUGGGUUAACCAAGCUUUAGACUAUCUGUUACUGUUUUUAUUCCUAAUUUUCCAUCAUUCUAAAUACUGCAAGCAGAAAAACAUCUUAUUUAUACACACUAAAGUUGAGAAAUGAGGAAUUUAUCCUGACAGCGGGUAGGUUGUCAAUGUUUGGUAAAGUGAUGAUAUUGCUGGCACUGGCAGCAAUUUAAAGACGCUUUGAAAAACAGCCUCAGAGUUUUUCAUUAAACACUGUUUGAACCACUGACUGUCUAUAGAGUGAGCGAUGCACCUUUAUUUGCAGCAACAGUGAGUUUUGAAGCCAAAAUAAUAUGAACAAUAACAUAUCGCACUGGUAGAGCCAAUAUCGCUGGUGUAGCUGCAGGACUGAUGUCACACCCUUACAGUUACAAUCAUGGCUGUGGAAAGCUCUGUGACUUUUGUGUUAGUGUUUGUGAUGUUUCCUCUCACUGUUCCUCUUUAAGAGGAACUAUUGUAGGAGCCAGAAUUUGUCAGCAGAGCUGCUAAUCUGUAUCCACUUUAACAUAAAAAAAACUCAACAGAACCAAAUAUAUGAGAAUAAUGAACACUUGCAUAAAAAGUAGCAUAAUGAAAACGUAGUUUGUUUGACAGAAAGCACAUUUGAAAAGGAUUUAUUUAAUGUGCAUUUUCAUUAUUGAGUUUGGGCCAUAUUUAAUCACUUAUAAUGGAAGUGUUAUAUUGCAGCCAGUCAGCAGGGGGAGCUCCAACAGUUUUGCUCCACACUCUGACUCUGCACAUGUCGUUCACAGUCUGUAAUUUCAACUUCAAAUAUAAACAGAAAGUCAUAGUCUGCACACCAGGAGCUGCCUCAAUGUGAAUUUAAUGAAAAGCAUCACCACAUGUGAUGAUCAUCAGACAUGUCUGAUGAGGGGAAACGACCCAAAACAAGUUUCUGUCCUGAACUGAGCUAUUGAAGUUUCAGAUGUGCAUGCUACUUCUUUAUUGCUUUUUUUUUUUAAAUUAAAAUACGGCUUCCCUCAGGUUUUCAUUAUUUACUCUUCUCAGUUGUUCAUCAUUUGAGAAGCAAUUUCCAACGUUUCUGCAUUUAACAAACUUGAAACUCAGGGAUGUGGCACCAUCUGAGCCUUCCACUCUUGGAAUGAUGACAGAAUAAUAAAAAUAAUAACUUUAUUUUUAUAGAGCCUUUAAAAACAGACGUUUACAGAGUGUUUAGACAGACAAAGCAAAGGCAGGCACUCAGGAAGAUAACAGAGUAAAUAUUUAAUAGUCAGGGCAAACAGAAAGAAGUUAAAGAUGACAAAAGGUAAGAGAAAAAUGCGACACGAAAGGUAAAUGAGUAUAAACACAAAUAAAAAGAUUAAAUGUGAUAGAACAGAAAGCUCUGGAAAGGCAGUUAAAGCAAUGGAGCGAUACAAAUAAAGAGAUCAAUAAGAGAAGAGAGGCAAUGAGCCACAGAACGAUCAUAAGAGGACAACAUCACAUCAGCAGAAAUCAAAACAGAAAAAAAGAUCUGAAGCAUUGAGAAAAAAAGAGGAUAAACAAAAGAAAUAAAAAUGUAAGAAAUAAAAGGCAGUGAGAUUAUGAAAUCCUUAAAAGACAGAGGAACAGAUGAAGAGAUUAAGAGCAGCAAAACGGAUGAAUGAAAAGAGAAAUUAUGAAUGCAUUUAAAAAGGUGAACUCUCAUAAAAGCAGGUCUGCAAAAGUGAGUUUUAAGAUGGCUGAUUUUGCAUGUUUUAUCUCUUAUCUCAGGCACAUAAAGCCCACAGCCAAGGGACCCUGACAGCAUUAUCAGAGCUCCCUUUAGAUUUAAGGUUCUGACUUUGGGACAGCCAUAUCAGCGUCGUAUAAAGAUGUGAUGUUUUGAGACAGCUGACAGAGGACGAUGACUGUUGUGAGAAAGAAGUGAGUUUGCAGUUCUCCCCACAUCUUGUAUUUGUUAAACCAGGUUUUAUAACUGCAGAAAACCCAUCAGCAAACAAUAAGAUUCAAGGACCAACCCUGACGUUCUCACUGGGUCAUUUGUUUGCACUUUCACCGGUCAUAUGAUUCACAAAUACAGGAAAAACACAAAGGCAUGUUUAGACAGUGACUGUUGUCCCCUCUCUGUCUCCCCCCCUCACUUCGGUCAGAGCAUGGAUGCUCUUCUUGACAGAUGAGGUGGAGAAGGGGGAAAAAAAACCCAAACUGAAUAUUCCUCUCUCUGUAAUCGUUUCAAUCUGCUCUGCCAGAACAGAUUGUGGUCUUUUGCUUCCCUGUUGGAGGCCUGUGUACAUCUCCUCCCUCUCGUUCUUAUUCUCCCUCUCCCUCUCCAUUUUUUCCCAUUAUUGCAAUAUGGCACUCUCCAUUUCAUUGUCAGUCUGGGCACAAGGCUGUAGUGUGGACUCCAUAUAUUAUGCCCAAAGCCUACUGACCACCUCCCUGGUGGAGGUGUAUGAUCAUCCAUCAUGGAUAAAACAUUACAGUGCCCCCAUUUGUCUACAAGUGGGCAGGGGAGGGAAAGGAAAUAUGUUAGUAAAAUUGCCCACCUAGUAUCAAAAUGAAACUCUUAAGGAUACCUCUACCCUAUUUUUCUGGGCAAAUUGAAUGCAUUUUUCUGGACUGAGGGAGCGUGGAGCAUGCAAGAUUAGGUGCUUCUUUUUAUUUCGUAUUUUCCAGUGAUCCCCCAGCCCCGUUUAAAGACCCACAGUCAGUGUUGAUUGAGAGAGCCCUCAUAAGUGGCCACGGCAAUUCCAACAACAACAACAGUCGACCUCCUCUGGCAGGAAGAAGGCCCUUAACCACAAGAGCCGGGGCUGGAGGAGGAGGGGGGAGGAGGUGGGAGGUGAGCCAGGAGGAAGGCAGCUUGCGGUCAUACAUCUUGGGAAGGCUGCAUGUGUUGCCCAGACAGCCCCUUAAGUGACUUCACCUCAUCUCAAUGGUGCUCAUUACGUGCCAUAGAAAGCCAUCCAUUCAGGGCGGCAGUAUAAAACAAACCGAGCCCAUCUGGAGAGAGCACACGAGGAUGUCAACACAGGCUUAGGAAAUUGAUUGGGUUGUGUAGGAUGCUGUGAAUGAUAGGGGGUUAUUGUACAUCUCAUUAUUUAUUGGCAGCCUUACAUUUUUACACGCUCAACUCCAUAGUGUCACAAUUACGGCUGCAUAUUUUCAAUCUCAGUGUAUCAACAAGGUUCCCACACAGUCUCUUAAACUAUCCUCAGAGCCAGAAACGAUGCACCCACAGUCGGCUUUUUAGAAAGUUUUCCAACAGCUAUAAUUCAGAUUGGCAUCAUGGCAAAGUCCACACAGUUUUUGCUUUCUCUCUCCCUCUCUCUCUCUCUCAGUCAGUCAGGAAGUGGACUAAAAUCUUUACUUUGAAUGCUGAAGUUUAAAACCACUGAAACAAUUUUCUUUUAAUCAACAUACCAACAAUUUGACAUCACACAGGAAAGCAGCAGAUGAAAUUAGACCGACCAUUUUCAUUCAUCAGACGUCAGGCUGGGUAUGCUGUUAAAAUGUCAGUGCAUUUUGUUCCAGGUAGUUAAUCAUGUAAAUUUAAGUGGUUAGACCAGUAUUGUGGCUGAGUCACUCAAGUCCAGGUCCAAGUUGAGUCAUCAGAGAAGAAUCUGAGUCGAGUUCCCAUUGCCUGAGGUUUUAAAAUAGAAAAGCGUUGCUUUACGCCACACUUUUCACUCAAUGAACCAUGACUGACUUUUAUCAUCAUCGAAUUCUGAGUGAUCCUGUUGUUGUGUCAGAAAAUUGAAGUUGAAUGGAUGUGAAUGGAAAACUCACCAAUGGCCUGGUGGUCUAAGCACCCCAUGUAUAAAGGCAAUAGUCUUUGGAGCGGCACAUGACCUCAUAAACUUUACUAAUUGAUGCAAUUCACUUACAUAUCCUUAUUUAACUGUAAUAAUAUUACAAUCUGCCCCAUAACUGAAACUUCUUUGGAGAGGACAUUGCCUCUUUAUGGAUUGUCUGUCAUACUUUUAUUAAGAUUUUUUUUUUCUUGCUUUUAUGUCGCCUCAUAUCUGCAUUAUCAAACUAUGCUUUUAUUUUGAAGUUUGGUGGAUUUUAAAAUCCAGAACUGAAAGAAGACUGUUUAAAGAGCGGUUAGAUCAUAUCAAUGGCCGAUUGAUUUGUAACCCCAGGAGAUACAAGCUCUAACCUUGUUUUUGAAUUCACAAUAAAACCUGAACAUCGGUUUAUAAAAGAAGGUUGUUUCAGCUAGCCUGUUGCAGUCUACUACUUCUUCUUCAUCUAUCCUAGGUCUUAUCAUGCAUUGCAACCAGCAUAAAAGACUAUUUUUAUGAACUCAUGUUAUUACAGUAAGCUUAUUUAUCAUCAAUACUGGUAUAUAGUGACAACCCUAGCUGCUAACUCUACUGUUAGCAUACUAGCAGUAUCUGCUACAGUCUGAGUUUGUUGUGGUAUUCGCUUCAAUGUUUCAUUUGUAUAGUUUAACAUAUCAAACAUACUGAACUUCUCAUCCUUGUACGUUCUUAAAUCUCUGAAGGCAAAACUCACGACUGUCACCUUUGCUGGCAGCUUAGCAGGAACCUGACAGCAGCUCUCAAUAGAUUUAUCCAAGUGUCCAAAUGCUGUCAAUUUACAUGUCCAGAUGGACUCAUAGUUAUUAAAGAAUCAGGCCUCAGGUUGGGCUAAAGUACCAAAGCACUAGUUGAUGCAUAUCCUUUUUUCUCAGUUGAGUAACAUCAACAUGAACAAGAGUGAAUAUCUGAAGGAGCAUUUGAUCUUAGCUCCAGUUAAAUCCUUUGAAAGUCAGUUAUCUACAUUUGAGCAGCUAACUUAAGCUUUUAACCACAAAAUUAGCAAUGAGGCAGUUUUGUGAACAGUCUAGUUCUGUUGCAAAAUAAAAAAAAAGAGGAACAAUUUCCUGGUCAAUAUUUUUAGGACUAAACAUAGAAUAAGACAAUCAGCCAUUGAGUUCUCCACUCUGAGUGUGCAGUCAGAGUAAAGAGGCCUCUGUGAAUGUAGUCAGCUGAUGCAGAGAGAGAUUCUCUUUGCAACCAGAUGCCAAACACUUGUUAGCGUUUUCUUGAAAAUGAAAUAACAACAUUGGUUAUUCACCACCAGUACUUCCAAAAAAGUUGCUAAAGGUUGUUUUGAAAAUGCAUCCGUUAAAUUUUCUUAAUGCGUUUUAUCAGAUACCAAAAGCAGAUUAAAUCAGACCCACAAUGGCUGUCACAUUUUUGAGCUUAAAGGAUUAUUCAGUCUUGUCAACAUGUGGCCACGUCUUUGUUUAAUUAGAGCUCUGCUGACGUUAGAAAAGCCAAAAAAGAAAAAAAAGGGGGCUGGGUUGAACCAGUCUGCAGAGCAGGUGUCCUAGUUGCAGAGGUAAAGUCCUUCUUUCACUGGAUUUUAGUUUGACUGCUGCUCUUUAACCAUUUGGUGCAUGUCGUAUCAAAGCAAAGAUAAACACACCAACAGUACGACUCAUUUUUCAAAGCCUCUAAUUUGAAACACUUAAUUUUGUCACUGUGUUGCAUAUUUUGUAUUUCAAAUUGCAGGCACAGAUCUUACAAAGUCUUUAAAUAUUUGCUCAUAAAUCAAGUGUCUCCACAGUUGGCCUCUUGGAAAGUAUUUCAAUGGAUGUUACUCAAAGCAGGGCACCAUGGCAAAGUCCACGCAGCAUUGAGUAUUCAUUUUGAAGCCCGUGUUUACGUUGCUUGGCUUGGUAGCCUAGCGCCUCGGAGCAGCGGGCUCCUGCUGAGAUGAAGCUGCUGCUUUCACAAGAUGGAGUCAAACACAGAAGAGGAGGCGAGAACAUAGGGAGCGAAAACGGGCAGAAAACUCUUGAAGCUGCAUUAUCUUCCACUUUCAAAUUCAUUUAAAAUGCCAGGUUUGACAAAUUACACCUUUCCUCCGCCUAAUAUCUCCCUGUAACUGCCUUUUUUUUCUUCCACACAUUACUAUUUAAUGUACAUGUGCAGCUUUUUGAGUGCAGGAAGUGUCCAGCUAAUGAAGCAGAGCUGGAGUCACUCACGCCUGCCUGUGGAAUCAGCACGGACACUGAAUUGCACCAUGUGAACUGCAGCAGGGUGAACAGACUCAGCCAACCAAGAGCUACCGGCCUUAAUCGCUGUGAUUUAAAUUUCUGUUCCUUUCAUUAGGAAGCAUUGACAUUUUAAGCACACCUGUACGCUGCUGUCACUGAAUAACCUUUAAGAAGAAGAGAGAUGUGUCGCUCUUCUGAGGAGACAAAAGCCCAGAAGGAAAUUUACACUGACACACUCAGUCUUCUGUUGUGUACCUUAUAAUUCAAACCAACUGAAAAAGAAAAACUAAAAAACAAAAGAAAGUAUAAAAGAGAGUAUGUUCAGACUGUUUGUGCACCAUGCUCAACACUUUCAUCUUCAUGUUUCUGUUUAAAUUCAACAUUUAUUGUAAGGUGUUUUCAAGUUUUUGAUGUGCCUUCAGACAAGCUCUCAUUCAUGUGGUUUCUUAAAAAAAAAGCAUCUCAAGUUUUUAACCACAUUGUGUACCAUGAAUUGAGCUGUUAGGGACCCCAAAGGCGAAUAGAGGUGUAUAAAACAUGUGCUGCUCAUAAGAAGAGUCCUUAACUGGAUGAAACUAAAUUAAAAAUGCAUAUUAGUUUCUGCGCCAUUUAGUCAUGCGUAUGAGAUGUACUCACAGGUUUCACAUCCUUUCUGGUUACUUCCAGCCCACAGUUCUGCUCCUUCUGUUAAUGCAAUUCAGCACAUGUGUCCAUAUUUCCAUACCAUGCUUGAGUAUGUGGUUUUAAUUUGUGGGAACAUAUGUUUUCAUUAUGGCAAUUGGUGUAUGAAAUAAUGUUGCUUUUUUUUUUUUUUUUCCCAGAAAUGCACCUGCAGUUGGGCAUAAGGAGAUCGGGCCUCUUUGGAGUUAAUGUUGCCUUCAAAAGGACAUCAAAGUGAUGAUUUCCAGACUUCCACGAGCUGAACUUUACUGAAAUCUACACUGAUGUGUGUUUUUUUUACAAGUUACACAACUGCUACAACUGUGUGGCCUCCAGACCAUCAACUCUAAACAGUGAUUCAUAAUUCCUGUUAACGCUGGCACACAGUUGGAUUUAGUGUAUUAAGCAUUCUGACCAAAGCAAGUUUGAUGAAAGUAUUGUUUUCUGCUUUUUCUAGCAGCUGCCUUUCAUCAUAGUAUGUAAGGGAUAAUGGGCAGUGACAAGGUUGUUUUAGUUGCUUGAAUCCCGAAAAGGUCUGAAAGGGUUCCUCUAUCAGAUCAGCCAGUUCACUUUACAUCCUGUUAAUAACACUGCUACAUAAAAUCAAAACAUUAAUACCAAAUGUUGAUGUGGAAAUAAUUUAGUCAAUUUCAAAAUGGUUCCAAGUUGUCUGUUACACUCACAUUUUGGGCUCCAUCCAUUUUAAGUGUUAAUUCAACAGCCCUCAGAAAAUGAGCUAACAUUUAUGUUAUUACCAACCUGAAACUGAAUAUUUGCACUGAUGGUGAAGAGAAACAAGGUGAGCAGGAUCACAUGAGUCAGUGCCACACCUGAUGGAGUUUUCCUGGCUCAUCACAGUCAUAGUCAGCAUUUCUUUUCCAUUUAUCAUACCUUCAAACGCCUCCCAUAGC